UACGUAGGGCGCAAGCGUUGUCCGGAAUUAUUGGGCGUAAAGAGCUCGUAGGUGGUGUGUCGCGUCUGCCGUGAAAGCCCGGGGCUUAACCCCGAGCCUGCAGUGGAUACGGGCAGACUAGAGGUAGGUGGGGGAGAAUGGAAUUCCCGGUGUAGCGGUGAAAUGCGCAGAUAUCGGGAGGAACACCGGUGGCGAAGGCGGUUCUCUGGGCCUUACCUGACGCUGAGGAGCGAAAGCGUGGGGAGCGAACAGG
rnacentral:rRNA from 1 species